GUCAGCUGAAGACGGACGGACUGUUCAGAACAUCACGUUGUUGGACUGGAGAAAGAGCCUCAUUUAAAAGCACAAGUUAUUCAGCACAUUUGUUGGUUACCUUAAGGGCUUCAACUAACCGAGCUUCAAAUGGCAGAUUCUCAACCGUUUCCUGAAAGGUAUGAUGAGUUGGAUACCUCCCUGAAAAAUGAUCUCAGUGA